UUGCGCAAUGGACGAAAGUCUGACGCAGCGACACCGCGUUGUGGGAUGACGCUCUUCGGAGUGUAAACCACUGUGGCAGGGGAUGAAAUUUUGACAGUACCCUGCUAGAAAGCACCUGCUAACCACGUGCCAGAAGCCUCGGUAAUACGUGGGGUGCAAGCGUUAUCCGGAUUUAUUGGGCGUAAAGCGUACCGUCGGUUGUUUUUUAAGUUUCUUGUUUAAGCCUGAGGGCCCAACUUCAGAGCAGCAAGAAAAACUGAAAAACUUGAGUUUGUUUUGGGGCAGCUGGAAUUCUCAGUGGAGGGGUGAAAGUCGCGUAGAUANUUGAGGAGGAACGGCCAAUUCGCGUAGGCAGGGGCUGCGUAAGAGCAGUANACUGACCACUCAUGGACGAAAGCUAGGGUAGCAAAAGGGAUUAGAGACCCCUGUAGUCCUAGCCGUAAACACUCCUUGCUAGCUGUUUCCCCUUAGGGGGGAGUGGCGUAAGCUAACGCGUUAAGCAAGGCGCCUGGGGAGUACGACCGCAAGGUUAAAACUCAAAGGAAUUGACGGGGGAGCGCACAACCGGUGGAGCAUGUGGUUUAAUUCGAUACAAAGCGAAAAACCUUACCCAGGUUUGACGUCCGCCUAUGUCCUUUUCGAAAGAAAAGCACUUAGUGGCGUGACAGGUGAUGCAUGGCUGUCGUCAGCUCGUGUCGUGAGACGUCCUCUUAAGUGAGGUAACGAGCGCAACCCUUGUUCUGUGUUAUACGUGUCACAGAAGACUGCCUCGAUCAUAUCGGGGAGGAAGGAGAGGACGACGUCAAGUCAGCAUGUCCCUUACACCUGGGGCUACACACAUCCUACAAUGGGACCGACAACAGGUAGCAAAGUCGUAAGGCUGAGCCAAUCCCUAAACGGUCUCUCAGUCCGGAUUGAGGGCUGCAAUUCGCCCUCAUGAAGUCGGAAUCGGUAGUAAUCGCAAAUCAGCAGGUUGCGGUGAAUACGUUCUCGCUCCUUGUACACACUGCCCGUCAAGCCAGCAAAGUCGGCAACGCCCGAAGCGGGUGACCGGAACCAUUUAUUUGGACCGGCCCUUCUACGGUGAGGUCGGCGAUGAGGACUAAGUC
rnacentral:rRNA from 1 species